UACGAAGGGGGCGAGCGUUGUUCGGAUUUACUGGGCGUAAAGGGCGCGCAGGCGGUUCUGUUUGUCGAGUGUGAAAGCCCCGGGCUCAACCUGGGAACUGCGCUCGAAACGGCGGAACUAGAGUUCGGGAGAGGAGAGUGGAAUUCCCAGUGUAGAGGUGAAAUGCGUAGAUAUUGGGAGGAACACCAGUGGCGAAGGCGGCUCACUGGACCGGUACUGACGCUGAUGCGCGAAAGCGUGGGGAGCAAACAGG
rnacentral:rRNA from 1 species